GAUGAACGCUGGCGGCGUGCCUAAUACAUGCAAGUCGAGCGAACAGAUAAGGAGCUUGCUCCUUUGACGUUAGCGGCGGACGGGUGAGUAACACGUGGAUAACCUACCUAUAAGACUGGGAUAACUUCGGGAAACCGGAGCUAAUACCGGAUAACAUAUUGAACCGCAUGGUUCAAUAGUGAAAGGCGGCUUUGCUGUCACUUAUAGAUGGAUCCGCGCCGUAUUAGCUAGUUGGUAAGGUAACGGCUUACCAAGGCAACGAUACGUAGCCGACCUGAGAGGGUGAUCGGCCACACUGGAACGGGGACACGGUCCAGACUCCUACGGGAGGCAGCAGUAGGGAAUCUUCCGCAAUGGGCGAAAGCCUGACGGAGCAACGCCGCGUGAGUGAUGAAGGUCUUCGGAUCGUAAAACUCUGUUAUCAGGGAAGAACAAAUGUGUAAGUAACUGUGCACAUCGUGACGGUACCUGAUCAGAAAGCCACGGCUAACUACGUG
rnacentral:rRNA from 1 species